rnacentral:rRNA from 1 species
GACGAACGCUGGCGGCGUGCCUAAUACAUGCAAGUAGAACGCACAGUUUAUACCGUAGCUUGCUACACCAUAGACUGUGAGUUGCGAACGGGUGAGUAACGCGUAGGUAACCUGCCUGGUAGCGGGGGAUAACUAUUGGAAACGAUAGCUAAUACCGCAUAAUAUUGAUUAUUGCAUGAUAAUUGAUUGAGAGAUGCUAUUGCAUCACUACCAGAUGGACCUGCGUUGUAUUAGCUAGUAGGUGAGGUAACGGCUCACCUAGGCGACGAUACAUAGCCGACCUGAGAGGGUGAUCGGCCACACUGGGACUGAGACACGGCCCAGACUCCUACGGGAGGCAGCAGUAGGGAAUCUUCGGCAAUGGACGAAAGUCUGACCGAGCAACGCCGCGUGAGUGAAGAAGGUUUUCGGAUCGUAAAGCUCUGUUGUAAGAGAAGAACGGGUGUGAGAGUGGAAAGUUCACACUGUGACGGUAUCUUACCAGAAAGGGACGGCUAACUACGUG